AACGAACGCUGGCGGCAGGCCUAACACAUGCAAGUCGAGCGAGGACUUCGGUCCUAGCGGCGGACGGGUGAGUAACGCGUGGGAACGUGCCCUUUGCUUCGGAAUAGCCCUGGGAAACUGGGAGUAAUACCGGAUGAGCCCUUUGGGGGAAAGAUUUAUCGGCGAAGGAUCGGCCCGCGUUGGAUUAGGUAGUUGGUGGGGUAAUGGCCUACCAAGCCGACGAUCCAUAGCUGGUUUGAGAGGAUGAUCAGCCACACUGGGACUGAGACACGGCCCAGACUCCUACGGGAGGCAGCAGUGGGGAAUCUUAGACAAUGGGGGAAACCCUGAUCGAGCCAUGCCGCGUGAGCGAUGAAGGCCUUAGGGUUGUAAAGCUCUUUAAGCUGGGAAGAUAAUGACGGUACCAGCAGAAGAAGCCCCGGCUAACUCCGUG
rnacentral:rRNA from 1 species